rnacentral:rRNA from 2 species
AAGCUUACCAUGCAGUCGAGCGCCCCGCAAGGGGAGCGGCAGACGGGUGAGUAACGCGUGGGAACGUACCUUUUGCUACGGAAUAACUCAGGGAAACUUGUGCUAAUACCGUAUGUGCCCUUCGGGGGAAAGAUUUAUCGGCAAAGGAUCGGCCCGCGUUGGAUUAGCUAGUUGGUGAGGUAAAGGCUCACCAAGGCGACGAUCCAUAGCUGGUCUGAGAGGAUGAUCAGCCACACUGGGACUGAGACACGGCCCAGACUCCUACGGGAGGCAGCAGUGGGGAAUAUUGGACAAAUGGGCGCAAGCCCUGAUCCAGCCAUGCCCGCGGUGAGUGAUGAAAGGCCCCUAGGGGGUUGUUAAAGGCUCUUUUCACCCGGGUGAAAGAUAAAUGACGGGUAAACCGGG